AGAAAUCUCCGUUUUCAGUCACCGAAAACGCCGUUUAAGUGUGGACGAAAGGUGCAAACGCAUAGAAAAAUCUCCAUUUUCAAAAGUACCUGUGUACAUAGCUCAAGAAUAAUAAGAACUCCUAAACAGGAGACUUUACUUUUUAAGAACUGUUUAACAAAGGCUUGUUUGUGCCAACCUAAAUCUGCAGCACAGUUUAAAUUCUCACUUUGUGGAAAAUUAAUGAAAUAAACAACAGCCCACCUUCACAUAAAUAAAAUAUGGCAGUAUAUUAUUAUUAGUAUGGUACAUAGAUAUUUAUUUUAAAACUACAGCAUAUUUAAUGAUACUAUGUGCAGUUGAUAAUAUUUUAGGAAGUAGAAUUUGAAUGCAGACCACCUCAAAUAUUAAAGACUUAAAAAUAUAUCGUGCAGUUUAUCAUGUAUGAGUGUUAUUGCAAUCUUAAAUGAGAUGUAGACCAAAGAAAACAGAGGAGAGUUGUUGUUUGUAUUCCAGCUGUAGUAAACAAAGAAGUUUAGUGAAUCUUUUUGACAACAGAGAGUGAUGCAGUAUUGAUGCUAAUUUGAGUUUUCUGAUCCUGUAUUUUUGCUCUUUGUCUUUUGUUACACAGAGUGAAAUAGAAGCUUGGUUUUGCCUUUGCUGGUAAGUAAACAGUGAUUGUAACUGAAGCAAUAUGAAAUUGGGAUUGUGUAACAUGUUUAGCAAUUUACAUACAAUAGUUUGGCUUUUUGUGAUAUCUUGCCAUUUGCUCAUGGGCAAAAACACAUUUAGGAUUUAUAAGCAGUAAAGCCCCCCCACUAGACCUCUGAGUGUCCCUAAAAAUGUCCCUGUAGUUUAAUAGGCCAUUUAUGUCUAAUUUUAAUUUUAAAGGCUUAUCAAAGCAUUUCUGUAGUAAUUAUUGUUUUUAUUACACAUGUUAAGGCCAUUUGAGACUCUGCAAUUAAAUUUUGCCCUCUUUAGACUAAAGUGAGUUCAUUUUGUCUGAGGUACAGUGCUGGGAAAAGUCUUUCUUCCUUGCAGAUUUAUUUUGUUCAUGCUUUUUUGUCACAUGUUUCAAAUCAUCUAACAGGGAUGAUAUGAAUAAAUACAAAAAAGCAUUUUUAAAGUGAUGAUUUCACGUAUGAAGCAGAGAAAACCAAACCAGAGCUAUCUGUUCUAAUGUGAGAACAUGCUGGUCUCUAAUACCCAGCUGUGGAAGCCCUGAUAGCAAGAACUACCAUCAAGCAUUUAUAGUAUCAAGUAUCAUUUGUGAUUGUUGCAUGCUUUGAAACUGUGAUGUUAUCAUUUGAUCAAGUGUGCAGUGCGAGCAAAUCAUUGCUUGUGGUAUCUGCUGUGUUAUGUAAUAGCACCAACGUAUAAGAGCUUUACGUUAAUGAGGAAUUUCUGUGGCUUAUUGCAGAUUGAUAAAACGACACAUCACCUUAAUAAAGACGGAAAUCUUUAAUAAGGUGCAGAAAGAGAAGAUGGGGUGUUUAUAGUAAAGCUGUUGUAAACAAAGAAUUUAACAGAUUUUUUUUUCACUACAGAUUGUGAUGCAGUAUUGACUCUGAUGCUGAUUUCAGUUGUCUGAUUCUGUAUUUUUGUUCUUUUGUUACACAGAGUGAAACAGAACUUCGGUUUUGCCUUUGCUGGAUACUGAUCUGAUCGUCUCAAGUCUGAGUGAACAGAUCUUUGGUUUUGCCUUUGCUGGUGACCUGCUCCAGAAGAUCCUCUCUCUCUAUCAUUAUAAGCAAUUCUGUCUAUCCUAUCACUCUCCCGACUCUAUCUAAUUUGACAGCCAUUCUAUCUUGUAUCCCUCUAUCCCUACUGCUCUAUCUAAUUUGACAGCCAUUCCAUCUUGUAUCCCUCUAUCUCUACUGCUCUAUCUAAUUUGACAGCCAUUCUAUC